AAGUAUGUCAUCCGUUUGGCUUAGUUUGCUGUACAUAUACGCUCACACAAAAUAUCAUGUCAAAAUUUGUGCAGUAAACCUGAUACUGCAUGUAUGUAAAGUUUUAUGCUCUAUGCAAGUUAGAUAGAUAGAUAUUUUAUUCUCUGAAAACUGAGUUCAAGUUUACAGAGAAACAUAUGUAAUAUAAAUACAAAUACAAUAAAUUUCUAGC
rnacentral:lncRNA from 1 species